rnacentral:rRNA from 1 species
CGCAGCAGUCGCGAAAACUCCGCAAUGUGGGAAACCACGACGGGGGAACUCCAAGUGCGUGCGCUUUGCGUACGCUGUUCCCUUGUCUAAAAAACAAGGGAAGUAAGGGGCGGGUAAGACGGGUGCCAGCCGCCGCGGUAAUACCGGCCGCCCGAGUAGUGACCACUAUUAUUGGGCCUAAAGCGUCCGUAGCCGGUUUUGUAAGUUUCUGGGUAAAUCCCACAGCUUAACUGCGGGAAUUCCAGAAAUACUGCAGAGCUAGGGGCCGGGAGACGCAGAAGGUACUCCUGGGGUAGGGGUGAAAUCCUAUAAUCCCGGGAGGACCACCAGUGGCGAAGGCGGCCGGCCAGAACGCGCCCGACGGUGAGGGACGAAAGCUGGGGGAGCGAACCGGAUUAGAUACCCGUGUAGUCC